CCUGUAGCUGGGCUGUAAAUCCCAUGCUAGUAUUUUCCAUGAAGAAGGGAAGUGCGCCAAUCCACAAAAAAAACACCAAGCAAAAAGAAAACAUUUUGUGUGUUUUGUAAAAUCCGCAAGAGAGGCAAUUAAUAUUCCCGUUGUAUGACUUUAUUUUUUUGUCUCUCCCUUUUGUCUCCAGUGCCCUUCCCUGGCUCAGCGCCCGGUGCCAACAGAACACCUUGCAGGAUCCUCAGCAGCGCAGACAACACUCCAAGAUGCCGGCCUCGGCUUGGAACGGAGCGGUGUCAUGGCGGAGACGACGGCCUUUGUCUCGCAGGGUGUGAAAGCAUCCGUUGUGCUGGCUCCACUGCGGCAGAAUGACGUCUAAAGGGGGGAAAAAGUGCUGGAAGUCCGAGUUGUGCGGUGCUGGUGGGGGAGCCCCGUCCCCACGGUGUGCGUCCGAGGAAGGGCUUGCGGCAGAGGAACCUGGGUACGGACGCCAGCCGCCUGGCACGGCUCUGCCUCGCGCGGGUGCAGGGGGGCAGGGAAGAGCUCGCAGCAAAACCAGCCACUGCAGAGGGAUGAAUGGACGGCCGUCGACUGUUGGAGUGUGGCUGGGGCAGCUGAUGCUCCUGCCUCAUCCUCCGGACAUGUCACCACUGAAUUUUGCUAUAAACAAUCAACAUGACCCCUCCCCUCGCCUCUCCCACCCACCCUCCUUUCAGGACGAGUGCUGUCGAAGUUUCAGCAGGGAAGCUGUCCCCCCCAAAGUCCCAUCAGAGUCCGGCAAUGUCUCACACCACAGGACUGCCCAGCCCGAGCACCCUGCAUGACGACGUGGGGCGUCGGAGGGCCCCCGGCCCUCAUGGGCUCAUCCCGCCUGCCAGGGCUCAGUUCCCCUUAUCGGCUCCAACGUGUCGCUUGGGAUGAAGCAUCACAACCACGGGAAAGUUAGUUUGUUGUAAUUACGAGAGAAAUAACCCAUGUGGGGGCUUUGUUUUUUCGCUCUCCCUCGCCCCAGUGUGCUGCUGGUGAGGGUGACGGUGUGGCGGGAGGAGGCGCAGCGACGCUGGGAACUUGCUGCUUUCACCUUCCCGUGCUUUCAUUUUAUUUCGUUUUUUAAAAGCAUGAAGCAAGUGAAGCGACGAGAGGAAUCCAUUAUGCAAAUCAGGUCACAUUUGCAUAAUGUCUCAUGACUGGAAUAUGCAAAUGAGUUGUAUAAUUUAUGAGUGCCAGUGUCUGUCUAAAAGUGUUUCCCAGAAUUUAUAAAAACUGCAGCGUGGGGAGGCAGCUGCCGGCUGCCCUGCCAGGAGGGUCCACGCUUGCUUUGCAAAGUCUGCCUGAGCCCAGCAGCCCAAACACUCAGGAAUAAGAACUGAUGCCCCUUCCCACCCUGUCCUCUUGCUUUAUUUUCUGUUUCUCCCUCUGCAAAGUCCCCACCUGCUCCCCUCAAACUUCUCUGAGGGUGUGAGGCUGGGGCGUGGGGCUGGACGGCCAGGCAGUCCCGCAGGUGGCUCAGCCAGGGCUCGCUCAGGUCCCUCAGGGCUCUCCACAGCUGCAGAGCCCCUGCGCCGUUCAGGUAAGUGAGCUCAUGGGCACGGUGCAUCGGAGAGCUGCCUCCAGCCUCUGCCUCUACUGACCCGCACGGUGGGAUUCCUGCUGGUUUGCCACGUGCCAGGUCCAGCCCCUGCUUGGAUCCGAGCUCCAUGACCUUGGGGAGAGCUACGAGGUCAGCGCAGGGCUGGCAUUGCCAACGGAGGGACCCUGAGUGUCGUCCCCAGUGCCGCAGUGCUCGGCGUCAGCACUGGAAAGGUCUCUGGAAUAUCUGGACAUGCAGGACAGGUAUCAAGACUUUGUCUUUUUUUUCCUUCUUCCCUGCAUGUCUGGUGAUCUGGGGAGCAUCAGGAGGAUGCAGGUGGGCUCUUGGACCUGGGGAUGCCACUGCCCCGAGCUGCCUGCAUGGGGAGAGGGUAAAUAAUAAUGCACUGGCCCGUGGAAAGUUGUGUGGGUCAUAGCCUGCCCACUCUGGGCAGCAUCCAGCGAGGAGCAGCGGGAUGGGAGAGCCCAGGAGUCGGGGCAGCUCAGCAUUGGCCUUCCUCAGCUCUGGGAGGUCCCUGAAAGGGCUUUUGGGCAAGAAAGUGUGAUUUGCUGUUCUUGAGAGUCUGCAUUUCAAUUGUAAAACCCAGAUGUGUUUAUCUCAUUGGUUCCAAAUCAGUUUUGGUGCUAGCUACCUCUAAAGUGACAAAUCUCACACUUUUCAUCAGUUUCAAAACACUGUGUCUGUGCGUUUGGUUUGUUUAGUGCACGCAGCUCCAGGCUGUGACAGUGAGAGUCUUGCUGAGUGCCUCCAGGACAAAGAAGUGAGUUCAUAGACUGUGCUUUUACCGGUGACUGGGGAGUUCUGUUGCGGGAAUAUGAAGAGACCCUCUGCAUCAGGUUUGGUGCCUGCCCCCUCGCUGCAGGGUGACCGUCCCCCCAGCACCAAGGAGUCACUCUCCCUGUACUGGUCCUUGCAGGCACAGAGAAGUAGCUGAGUCUGAUCUGGAGACAGUGCAGGACCAGGGCCACUGGGAACAACCGGUGUUUCCUGCUGGAGACCAGUGUUCUCCUGUGGUUCCUCACCGGUGGCAUUGGAAGAAUUCCCUGCAGCUCUGUCCUUGGGACUUCCUGGGGCCUUUGCCUGCAGGACUUACUCUCUGUCUCUUGAUGAGGGCAUGUAGUGCAGGCUGCCAGCCAUCGCGUUACAGAUUUAGAAGUGCUGGAAUCUCUCCGUCUGUAGCAGGCUGCCUGAUGGAUUGCAUCCAGCAUCCCUGUGGUGCUCAUGGGAGCUGCACAGAUCCAUUGCUCCUGAAAACCAGACCCUGUGCCUGUCACUUCAGAGUGUGCCCAGUGACCUGUGUUUCAUGUGUCAUCACCUGAUAGGCCAGUGGGAGAUGAGGAUGCUGCAGUGAGAAGAGAUGAGUGGUGGGAGGAACAUGUCUGCACCCUUCACACAGCGAGUCGGGACAUGGGGAUGUCGGGCAGGGAAGCCAAAGGGCAAAAAGCGUUUAAUUUCCCCAGCAUGAAGAUAAUGCCAUGAGUCCCAGCUCUGUGGAGGAAACUGCUUGGCAGGACUGCUCAAGAGCCUCUUCCCCAGUAUGGAUUCCUUCAGGUUCUUAAUUCCUCUGUGUCUCCCAGCUUUAGCUCAUUCUUCCUCUUUGGCUUACUAUUUUUCCUUUUGACCACUUUUCUAUGCUCUAAGGUCAAGGGUUUUCCGUAUGGAAAGAAGUUUAGCCCCUCCUAGCCUUUCUUGUGCCAUUUGCCCACCUGGCAUCACAUGCCCCAUACUAAGCCUGGCAGUGCUUGGGCAUGCAGGCACUACCAAUAGCAAGGAUGUUCUCCUUUGAUUCCCACCCAAAAGAAGAGCACAUUUCCCAUCUCCUCAGGCUGAUGCUCGGACUGGACAACCUCCUCUCCCUUCACAUGCUUGCACACAGGACAAGAGAGGGCUGUGCACCCCACGCUCCCACUGCCAUGUUCCCAUCCUGGUGCUGCCAUUCUGCAGCUGGAGCCAAGCAUGGCAGAGACAAUGUGCUGGAGCAUUCUGUCUGAGGGGAGUUCGGGGAGGGGAGAGGGAAAAAGGCUGUUAGAUCUAUCGCUGGCAAUUUAGAUUCAGAGACAUUUCAUCUGCAGUUCCCUCAAGUGUUGAAUUGAAUAAAACCAGCAGCAGCGGUGGAAAAGAAGGUGGGGGAAGGGCUUCGAGCACUCUCAGCUAAACAAAAAGAGACAGGCAGCUCAUAAAAAAGGAAUUGCAUCCUUGGGCUGAAAAUCUGGAUUCACAGGGCAGAAGGGGAGGGCGCGUGGCAGAGCCCAUCUGUGGCCAGGGGCCAGGCAGUGCUGCCAAGGGCUUCUGGUGCUCCCACAGCAAGAGCAGAUCACAGGGCUUACUUCUGGGUUUCCUGAUUUUCUGUGGAUUUUUGAAGCUCCCGUUGUAGAAUCAAGCAGGAAGAACAGAGUCCCAGGCUUCGGUUGCAAUUUAAAAAAAACCCAAUACUUCACUUUCCAGUGCUUCAGGAGAAAAGCACAAAAGUGAAACCCUCAAGGGUCAAAAAUUCAGAAGAACAAGUAACUUAGCACUUAUAAUUUUGUAAACAGUUGCUGUUGAGGGCCAAACUCAUCAUUCUCAAACACAGCUGUGGGAUGGCAGAACUGUCCUCACCAUUAGAUGUUUCUGUUCCUCUGCCUUUGAGGGAAUUGUUGCUGGUGGCUGUUCUGGCUAUGCACUGCAGCAUUGGAUUCCUCUGGGUUUGUCCCAUUCCCUGGGUGUCAGGCAGUCUGAUACCCCUCCAUGAGCAGAGGCAGGUGCCUUGGUGCAGUGGAGUCUCUGCCUUCCCUGAGUUGGACAUGUCUGGUUGCUGCAGCUGGAUGCUCAAGAGCAGAGGAUCUAUCAACUGCAGACCAAGCAGAGGGAGAGGCAGGCAGAACUGGAGCAGAAAUGCAGCCGGACGAGCAGCUCAGCCAGGACCUGGGGGCCAGCCACCAGCUGCGGGAGGGAGCUCGGAGCAGCUUGUUCCAGAAGAUGGUGCAAUUUGGUGAUUGAUUCCUGGAGUCUGGCUGGUGCAUCUGCACUGGGGUAUAGAAGGCACAGACCCUGCCGUGAUGCCCAGAACACUCUGCCAGUGCCAGCCACCCACAGCUCACAGCUCCAGAAGCAGAAGCGGAGCAUUCCAUCAAUGUGAGUGGAUAUUUUUCUCCCAUUAAAAUGUUUAAUUUAUUUUUGAAUGCACAUGAACUUUGAGGGCCCACCAUACCCUGUGUGAAGCAGUCUGACACAGCACAUGACAUUAAAAAAAGAACUCUUUUUUGUUUUGUGAUUAUUACCUGCUAAUUUAUGGGGUGCUGCUGGUUCUUAUAUUGAAGGGACAAAGAGAAAUCAUACUGCAGACAAGUUCUAUUUGCCGAACUUGAUACUAUAAUUGUCUUCAGUCAUUUCUUUUCCAGUCUAAAAAGACUAUUCACCUUUUCCUCACAUGGAAAAUACUCUUUGCAUUUGAUCAUCCUUGUUGCUCUUCUCUGAAACUCUUCCAACUCUUUUUCUAGAGAGAGGCAGACAAAGCUACAUAUGGAAAUCACAGCGCACUUCCACCAUGGAUCUCUUCAGUGGCAGAACUGUGAUCUGCUCUGCAUUAUUUUUCUGAUAAUUGUUAACAGGCAGUUUGCCUUUUAGGCUGCUCCUGGGCACUAAGCAAAUAUUUCCACACCUCUAUCUCUCCAUCCCCAUCUGGUUGUAUCUAGCACAGCUCCAGGCCCUCACUCCCGAGGAGGAACAGAGCUACAGCAGCUGGGACUGCAAUGAGAUCUUGUGAGCAAGAUGGUGCAAACAUCCCAGAUCCUGAGUAAGAUUAGGCCUACCUGGCUGUGUCAUACCUUGGAGACUGGUAUAGUCUGAUAAACAUUGAAAAAAGAAGAAAUAAUGAUACAUGGUCAGCCUCACCACACUGCAGACCGGGACUCUUCCAGGCAGGUCUACCCUCAAGUAUCUGCCCACCUGAGGGGCUGAGUAACCCUGUGGGGAGAGCUCAGGAGCCAGCUUUUCACCAGAGCCAGGCAGAAUAGCCAGGAAGGGCCCACAUUUGCCCUGCACUUGGACAUGGAGCCUCCUUAGGCAAAAUGCCUGUGCCUGUGGAGUCUUUUCCCUCCAAGACCUCACCUUCACCAUCACAUGGAGCACUAAGGUCAUUGUGGUACAGGCACAGGAGCACCAGUGGCCCAGGGACACAGGGACAACCCAAGUGGCCCAGGGACAGGCAGCCCACGUGGGGCAGGGGUGAAGAGCAGCUAGCCCCAUCACCCAGGCGUUAUGGGACCUCUCACAGCCCAUCACAGGCAUGGCUCCGCAGGGAACACUGCUGGAGCCAGAUGGAUCAGCACUGGCAUGAAGUCCUACCCAAGAGCACAAAUAACAUCAUGUUCUUGUGGUUCUCCUUUGCACUUCCUUCCUGCAGAUUCCCAGGAUGAGUAGGAAUGGAUUGGGCAGCCUGAUCUCCUGCAUCUGCAGCCAAGGAAAUUUCACCGUGUUACUGGGGAAUUCAGAAGUUGUCUGACUAAGACAGUUUCAGAUGGGCAUUCAGCUGGGCUUGAAGACAUCAAGAGAGCAAAAGCAUUACGUCCUCCCUUGGCAGUCAGUCCCUUCGCAUCACUCCUACUGAUUUUUUUUCUCUGAUUACUGCUGUGCCAACAGGGCUAAUGAAGCUUUCUGUGCAGCAGCAGUAUAGGUCUCAA